GCAAAGCGUACGUGGCGAUCGGAUAUUAAACCGAGAGUUGAGAAGUGUCGAAAAGGCGCAUCGUUUUAUAUUUCGUUUCAGUCUGAGACUCUCCUCGUUGACAUCAUAUCUCGUCACCCUCACCGAUGACUAGUUACCACAUUGCCCACCAGCAAGAUUACCCUCCGCCAGGGCAAGGAUCUGCGUAUCCUCCUCCGCCGCCACCGCCGAACCCAUCCGCACCGGGGCCUCCUUACGGAGGUUAUCCGACGCCUGCGUAUUCCGGAUACCCUCCGCCCCGGCCUCCUCAGCGCCCCCCCCGUCCAGGGGUACCAGGGUUAUUUCCAUGACCCAUAUCAACAACCGCCUCCUCCGCCUCAACCGUAUCCCAAUCACUAUCACCAGUACCAUGAGACCGACUGUCAUUCUAUGCUGCGAGGCUGCUUGGCAGCACUCUGUUGCUGCUGUGUGCUAGAGGAGUGUUGUUCUGAUUGUCCCAUUAUAAAAUAAUAAUGAGUCGUUUCUGCACUUUUGGUGUGCUUGGAUGUAGCACUCUCUGAUAAGCGUGGGAUACUGAGAUCUGUCGUUUUAUCGUUCUUGUAUGCUCAAAACUGUUAUGUCUAGAGACUGUGAUUUAGUUUGUAUGGGUCUAUUUGUCAUUGUAUGCCAACUUCAUAUACAGUCAGAUAUAAACUUAAUAUGUGCAGAGAACCUCCAUUUAGCUAAUAACAUAGUAUACUAUACUAUUAGCCUUUUCUAAA